AGUGAACGCUGGCGGUAGGCCUAACACAUGCAAGUCGAACGGCAGCACAGUAAGAGCUUGCUCUUACGGGUGGCGAGUGGCGGACGGGUGAGGAAUACAUCGGAAUCUACUUUUUCGUGGGGGAUAACGUAGGGAAACUUACGCUAAUACCGCAUACGACCUACGGGUGAAAGCAGGGGAUCUUCGGACCUUGCGCGAUUGGAUGGGCGGGUGUCGGAUUAGCUUGUUGGCGGGGUACGGGCCCACCGAGGCGACGAUGGGUAGCCGGCCUGAGAGGGUGGCCGGGCACAAUGGGACUGAGAUACGGGCCAGACUCCUACAGGAGGCAGCAGUGGGAAAUAUUGCACAAUGGGCGGGAGCCGGAUGCGGCAACGCCGGGUGCGGGAUGACGGCCUGCGGGUUGUGAACCGCUUUAGCCUGUGACGAAGCGUGAGUGACGGUAAUGGGUAAAGAAGCACCGGCUAACUACGUG
rnacentral:rRNA from 1 species